rnacentral:lncRNA from 1 species
UACCCGGCGCCGCCGCAGGGAGCCCUGCAGGUCCCACCAUGCCGCGCUGCGAGGGGAUGCUCUGUCCCCACACGCUCCAGAGCAAGAGCCCCAGGGACAUCUUCCUCCUCCAUGUGGUGACCCCCGACCGCAUCCCGCAGUUCACUAUCCCCUCUCUGGACAUCCAGGACAAGCACAGGCGCUCAGGCAAGGAGAAGGGGACGACCCAAAGGAGCAUCUUGGACACAGAAAUGGAAGAUGACCACGACGUGCCUGGCUCCAGCUCUUCCUGCUCAAAGGCCAGGCUCAUUGCCACUGCACAUGCUGUCCCAGACCCCACUGCUCAGGCAGCUCUGUCCCUGCCCCAUCUCCCCAUGGUCAUCACCCCGUAUGGCUUUGUCACCCUGGGACAGAGCCCAGAAGUCACCAGUGAAGAGGCGUUUUUUCACUUGGGCUCAGGUCACCCUCAAGGUCCUGCUGCUGAGAUACAUCCCAGUUGGCAGGAGGAACCAAGAUGCCACAAAAAACCCAGGAUGGAUGUUGCUGGGGGAUAUGGCUGCUCCCAGAUGGGUGGAGGCCUGUGGGACCACAAGCAACUGAGUCCCCAUGCCGCUGGUCAAAAGGAUGAUGGAGGCAGCCAGGCCUACAGGAUUCCAGCGGGGCUUCACCUGCCCAGGAGAUGUGCCAGCCCGCUCGGAGACAUCCAGAUAACAGAUGUUCUGGAAAGCAAAGAGGCAGAGAAGAGAGAGAGGAGGCUCCUGGGGAUGGGCUAUCAGAGGAGCAGCUCCAGCCUGGAGGUCCCCACUGGGACCCCCAGGAAGAACUUGCUGCAGAGGAUCCUCAGGAGGCACCUUGCCCACCCUCCGCAGCUCAAGCCUACGAAUUUCACUCUCCACUGAUCUUGCAAAGCAGCCCUGAGAAACGCAGGUUCCCUAAAGACUUGGGAAAGAGAGACUUUUGCAAAUGCCCCAGCCUGCCAGGCUGAAACACGAGGGCAUCAGAUGUGUCACUUUACCUGAAGGAGAAGGAUUGAAAUGGUACUGCCCUUGGCUGGGCAUCAGGCUGGGGUUUCACCGGCCACAGGAGGAUGUCCAUGAGGCAGAAGGGGUGGCAGCAGAGGUGGUGAAGCUGCGAGGGGCAGGCUGGGGAGCACGGGAGGGGGGCUGCAGGUUUGUAACCAUACAAAUAAAAUGUCUGAAUAAAAGUGAAAACGUUUCA